GAUGAACGCUGGCGGCGUGCCUAAUACAUGCAAGUCGAGCGAACGGACGAGAAGCUUGCUUCUCUGAUGUUAGCGGCGGACGGGUGAGUAACACGUGGAUAACCUGCCUAUAAGACUGGGAUAACUUCGGGAAACCGGAGCUAAUACCGGAUAAUAUUUUGAACCGCAUGGUUCAAAAGUGAAAGACGGUCCUGCUGUCACUUAUAGAUGGAUCCGCGCUGCAUUAGCUAGUUGGUAAGGUAACGGCUUACCAAGGCAACGAUGCAUAGCCGACCUGAGAGGGUGAUCGGCCACACUGGAACUGAGACACGGUCCAGACUCCUACGGGAGGCAGCAGUAGGGAAUCUUCCGCAAUGGGCGAAAGCCUGACGGAGCAACGCCGCGUGAGUGAUGAAGGUCUUCGGAUCGUAAAACUCUGUUAUUAGGGAAGAACAUAUGUGUAAGUAACUGUGCACAUCUUGACGGUACCUAAUCAGAAAGCCACGGCUAACUACGUG
rnacentral:rRNA from 1 species